rnacentral:rRNA from 1 species
UACGUAGGGGGCAAGCGUUAUCCGGAUUUAUUGGGUUUAAAGGGUGCGUAGGCGGAUUGAUAAGUUAGAGGUGAAAUGUCCGAGCUUAACUCGGGAACUGCCUCUAAUACUGUUGAUCUAGAGAGUAGAUGCGGUAGGCGGAAUGUAUGGUGUAGCGGUGAAAUGCUUAGAGAUCAUACAGAACACCGAUUGCGAAGGCAGCUUACCAAUCUAUAUCUGACGUUGAGGCACGAAAGCGUGGGGAGCAAACAGG